rnacentral:rRNA from 1 species
UACAGAGGGUGCUGGCGUUGUUCGGAAUCAUUGGGCGUAAAGGGCGUGUAGGCGGUUUGUUAAGUCAUGUGUGAAAUCCCUCGGCUCAACCGGGGAACGACGCAUGAAACUGGCAAGCUAGAGUACCAAAGAGGGGGGUGGAAUUCCCGGUGUAGCGGUGAAAUGCGCAGAUAUCGGGAGGAACACCAGUGGCGAAGGCGGCACUCUGGGCCGGUACUGACGCUGAGGAGCGAAAGCGUGGGGAGCGAACAGG